rnacentral:lncRNA from 1 species
GAAAUUUCUUGUUUUGGGGCUACUCAGGUCCGUCCCUUCUUCUUUCGGUAACAGCACCCAGAAUUUCCUUUGGGUGAACCCUCCUCCCUCCCCCACAGGCCACAUCUGUGGGUGAGGAUGGCACCAUUGCUGGCUUUGGGGUGGAUCAUGGGACCACACCUGGCCAGUCAGACCACUGAGUCCCUCUAGCCACAGUGACUGGUUCAGGAAUGGGCACAUGACCAGGAUUUAGUGGGGGCUACAUGGAGGAGAGGCAUUCUCUUUCUGCUGCCUUGGACCUUGAUGACGUGAGGAUGGGAGACUCUAGAUGUUAGUAGCUACCUUGCCCCUGUGAGGGUAGAUGGAAUACUUAAAAGGGCUUAAGUGAAGAGAGAGUGUAGUGAAGCACCCAGGGGCUAGCAACAGUGGGCAGCCUUGGUACCCUUAGUCCGAAGGAGCAAGGGGAGGGAACAGUGUUACCAGAGCUGGACAAGAGCUGGAGCCACAGAACAGGAAUGCAGCUGCUGCCAGUCUGACAAGGCAGAGAGGAAGUGGGGAUGGGCUGACCUUGACCUCACCCUCGUCAACGCUUCCAGUCUUGUGCUGGUACCUGCAUUGGCUGGACACAAUCAAAGCCAGAGUCAAACGCAGGUCAGCCCCCAAGAUGCAGCGCAUGGAAGAGAAGGGGAGAGAAUGGGGGAAGGUAAAAGGAGAAAACCAGCACCAAGAUGCUCUUGCUGUCCUAUUAGAUUUGUCAGUUAAGAGAGCCAGUAAUCCUCCUUGUUGCUUUGGCUGGUUUGGGUGUCUGCUCUAUCCUUUGUCCUGCAGGAGUCCUACGUGGAACAUAAACUCACUAGCUCACUCUUAUUGUAGUUACCGGGUAUGUCUCAACUCCCCUACGAGAUGUGAACUCUUUGAGGGCGUCUGGGACCGUCCUUUGUGCUUCUGUAUUCUCAGUGAAGUGUCUGGUGUGUAGUAGAUGCUCAGGAAAUGCUUGCUGAAGUGAAUGGAACUGAGUCCCAGGCAGAGGGAAUAACUCAUGCAAAGGCACAAGGCACGUUCCACCACGGCAGACCGCGAUGUCAGCAAACGUGGGUGUUGGAAUGGGUGGCAUUUAGUUGCAAGGUGGUCGGACAUCCUGGGCUGCUUCACCCCUGCUGUGAAAGCAGAGAAGACUUGAGCUCCCUGAAGAGGAAUUGAGGCGAGGGUGC